rnacentral:snRNA from 1 species
GGAUGUGAGGGCGAUCUGGCUGCAACCUCUGUCACCCCAUUGAUACCCAGGGUUGACUCGGCCAAUCUGGCUGGUUAGACAGGUGUCCCUUUCACCACAACAUGUGCGUCCCUCUGGAAGCUGCAAGCUCAGUCAAAGAGGACGAUCGCCUGCAAUAGAGGAGGCGCUUCCUCAGUCAAGGACACAUGAGCAGCUGUGUUCCUCUGCUUGAACCUCCAAAGUAGCUCUCAUGUUCUCAAAUGUGGUUGGUGGCUACCAUAUUGAACAGUGCCAAUUAUAAAACAUUUCCAUCAUGGAGAAAUUCUAUUGGACAGUACUAGACUGUCACCAAAGCUCU